rnacentral:rRNA from 1 species
CGAAAGCCUGACGGAGCAACGCCGCGUGAGGGAUGAAGGCCUCUGGGCUGUAAACCUCUUUUAUCGAGGAAGAAGAUCUGACGGUACUUGAUGAAUAAGCCACGGCUAAUUCCGUGCCAGCAGCCGCGGUAAUACGGGAGUGGCAAGCGUUAUCCGGAAUUAUUGGGCGUAAAGCGUCCGCAGGCGGUUUUGUAAGUCUGUCGUUAAAGCGUGGAGCUUAACUCCAUUUAAGCGAUGGAAACUGCAAGACUAGAGUGUGGUAGGGGCAGAGGGAAUUCCCGGUGUAGCGGUGAAAUGCGUAGAUAUCGGGAAGAACACCAGUGGCGAAGGCGCUCUGCUGGGCCAUAACUGACGCUCAUGGACGAAAGCCAGGGGAGCG